UGUAUAGAUGGUGACUAAUUUCGAGACCUUUCUGACACUACCAUUGGUAGACAAGGUGGUGUGUGAGAUUACAAUAAUUGAAUUUUGACAGAAAUGACUUGUCUCAAAAAUGAAAUCAAGCCGUGAAUGAAUUCGAAUUGUUAUCGAAUGUUAAGCUUUCUUAUAAGAAAGUGACUUAUAUGUAAUCAAGCUGCUUGCUUGAAUAAUGAUUGUCGGUGUACAGUGAAUCACUUGGCUCGCAGAUCGAGGAAGAACAUUGCCACAUGUGGUAAUUUCUGUGAACUGCAGGUCACAAUGAACAGAGAGUUUUUGAACGCAAAUGACAGCCGUGGGUGAAAACCUACAGCUACAUCCGUCUGAGGUUCGCAACAUAUGUCGUAUAUAAAGCAUGGCUCAUGUGANCACUUUUAACGGUUGACACGACUUGUGCCAGGCUGAUUGAAAACUAAGGCAAGUUGUAUCAAACUGUGAUGAAGAUACCGUGUAUCGGUUUAUAUGGAAUUAAUGAAUGGUGACGAUACUGGGUAUGUGCAAUGAUUGUAAAAAGGGGCCUCAGAUUGGGUGAGAUUANCCGCUGAAUUUAAGCAUAUUAAUAAGCGGAAGAAGAGAAACCAACUGGGAUUCUAUAAGUAAUGGCGAAUGAACAUAGAGAGGUCAUCAUCGAAUUCCUUCACAUUGAGUGAAUGGAAGGUGUGAUGUUAACGUGGUUUGUGCAUUAUGCUAGCAUGUAGUGUAAGUUUGAUUGAACGUGACAUGCCCAGAGAGGGUGAAAGGCCCGUUACACUGCUUGCCUGGUAUUCUCACAACUACGUUGGAGUAGGAUUGCUUGAGAAUGCAGUUCGAAUGAUGUGUGGCAAACCCCACACAAGCCUAAAUAUGGCUGCGAGACCGAUAGCGAACAAGUACCAUGAGGGAAAGUUGAAAAGCACUCUGAAAAGAGAGUUCAUAAGAGCGUGAAACUGUACUCUGCAAAGCGAAUGGUUGGGUGAUGUGGGUAUUUGUUGAUCAGGUAUCUUGUAAGCAUAAAAGCUGUUGAUUGAUGAUUGCAGUAUUGCUUGCGAGAUGCUGUAAUUGACAUUGCCUGGUGCUGCUUGGUGUGCUGAUGAUAGCGCGGUGCUGUUAUGAAUUAGAAUGUCCUUGACAAGCCUAUGAAAACAGUACCGUAGGAUUGCUUUGAUGCAGUUGCUAUUAUGAGCACACUAUCAUAUAAUGGCUAUACUUUUAUCAUUCAUCAAGCGUGCGACGAGCGAUUUGCUUGUUUGCAUUCUGGUGAAGAAAACGUUCAAUGGUUUGGUAAAGGCAGCGUCUUUACUUGAGCUAUUCGAACCGUCUUGAAACACGGACUAAGGAGUUCAACUCGAACGCAAGUCGUUAUUUCACGAUGAAAUUUAAAGGCUAAGUGAAGACGACUCUUUGUGAGAUGUUAACUGAGACGAUAGUGUUGAUGGUAAGCACGAGUGAUGAGUGACAUGUUUGAUCUAGUUGAUCACUGCACCUGAGCGUUCAGGUUGAGACCCGAAAGAUGGUGAACUAUGCCUGAGUAGAAUAAAGCCAGGGGAAACUCUGGUGGAG
rnacentral:rRNA from 1 species